rnacentral:tRNA from 1 species
GGGGUUGUGGCUCAGUGGCAGAGCACUCACCUAGUACGAAUGAGGCACUGGGUUCAAUCCUCAGCACCACA